rnacentral:rRNA from 1 species
UACGUAGGGGGCUAGCGUUGUCCGGAAUCAUUGGGCGUAAAGAGCGUGUAGGCGGCCCGGUAAGUCCGCUGUGAAAGUCGGGGGCUCAACCCUCGAAUGCCGGUGGAUACUGUCGGGCUAGAGUGCGGAAGAGGCGAGUGGAAGUUCCUGGUGUAGCGGUGAAAUGCGCAGAUAUCAGGAGGAACACCGAUUGCGAAGGCAGCUCGCUGGGACGUUACUGACGCUGAGACGCGAAAGCGUGGGGAGCAAACAGG